GUUGCAAGGUGGACAGAGGGAGUUGCUACUCUUCCCUCUGACAAAGCUCUCUUCCCCCUCCAAUAAUCUCUCGCAAUGUCUGACACACUGUUGCAAGGUGGACAGAGGGAGUUGCGACCUUCCCCUCUGCCAGGGCGGGAAAAGCCACCGAGAAAUCAAGUCAGUCAUCAGUAUCCAGGCUACACAUCAGGCUGUGCCGGAUGUGCCCAGAUUUGACGUGUAUUUCCUGAAACUUGUCACCUGUGGAAAGCUGCUUGAUCUCACAGGGAUGGCUGUGGUCCUCAGGAUGCUGACACACAACUGUUCCAAGAGGAACACUGUGCAUGCUGACACACCGGACCAUCCUCUCUUUGCCGAAUGCCAGGCUCCUUGGGAGUGGGAGCCACAAAUGAUGGAUCUUGCUGAUCAUGUCGCUUGACUCUCAAGCAGGCUGGUACCUGCCUGAACUCCCAAUGGCAACCUCCCAGGGAUAAAAAGAUGUCUACAGCAGCAAGAUCGAGGAUGCGAAAGGUGGCCAAGCCUACGGUGGAGGUCUCUGACCAUUUCCAAGCCAGUAUCGACUGAGAGGAUGGCAGAGUGUACAGUUGGACCUGUGUUUGAUCACAGCUAGGCCACUUGCUUCCAUGUGGCCCCUGGUUGAGUCACAACAUGUACCCAUGGUUUGGUUUGUUCA
ensembl:antisense Gm16150 predicted gene 16150